CAGCCGCCGCGGUAAUACAGAGGUCCCAAGCGUUGUUCGGAUUCACUGGGCGUAAAGGGUGCGUAGGCGGUUUGAUAAGUCUGAUGUGAAAUCCCGCAGCUUAACUGCGGAACUGCAUUGGAAACUAUUUGACUAGAGGAAUGGAGGGGAGACUGGAAUACUUGGUGUAGCAGUGAAAUGCGUAGAUAUCAAGUGGAACACCAGUGGCGAAGGCGAGUCUCUGGACAUUUCCUGACGCUGAGGCACGAAAGCCAGGGGAGCAAACGGGAUUAGAUACCCCGGUAGUCCUGGCCCUAAACGGUGCGCGUUUGCUGUGAGCGGAAUCGACCCCUUUUGUGGCGAAGCUAACGCGAUAAACGUGCCGCCUGGGAAGUACGGUCGCAAGANNUAAAACUCAAAGGAAUUGACGG
rnacentral:rRNA from 1 species